rnacentral:rRNA from 1 species
ACAGAGGAUGCAAACGUUGCUCGGAAUUACUGGGCGUAAAGCGCAUGUAGGCGGUCUGGUAAGUCGGACGUGAAAUCCCGGGGCUCAACCCCGGAAGUGCGCUCGAUACUGCCGGACUUGGGUUCUGAAGAGGAGAGCGGAAUUCCCGGUGUAGAGGUGAAAUUCGUAGAUAUCGGGAGGAACACCAGUGGCGAAGGCGGCUCUCUGGGCAGAUACCGACGCUGAGAUGCGAAAGCGUGGGAAGCAAACAGGAUUAGAUACCCUGGUAGUCCACGCUGUAAACGAUGACAACUGGGUGUUGCGGGUAUUGACUCCCGCUGCGCCGAAGCUAACGCGUUAAGUUGUCCGCCUGGGAAGUACGGCCGCAAGGCUA